rnacentral:rRNA from 1 species
GGAAUAUUGGUCAAUGGGUGCGAGCCUGAACCAGCCAUGCCGCGUGCAGGAAGACGGCCUUCUGGGUUGUAAACUGCUUUUACCAGGGGUUAAAAUGGUCUUGCGAGACAAAUUGAAGGUACCUGGUGAAUAAGCCACGGCGAACUACGUGCCAGCAGCCGCGGUAAUACGUAGGUGGCAAGCGUUGUCCGGAUUUAUUGGGUUUAAAGGGUGCGUAGGCGGCUUUGUAAGUCAGUGGUGAAAUAUGGCAGCUCAACUGUCAGGGUGCCAUUGAUACUGCGGAGCUUGAGUACAGAUGAGGUAGGCGGAAUUGACGGUGUAGCGGUGAAAUGCUUAGAUAUCGUCAAGAACACCGAUAGCGAAGGCAGCUUACUAGGCUGUAACUGACGCUGAGGCACGAAAGUGUGGGGAUCAAA